UACGAAGGGGGCUAGCGUUGCUCGGAAUCACUGGGCGUAAAGGGUGCGUAGGCGGGUUUUUAAGUCAGAGGUGAAAUCCUGGAGCUCAACUCCAGAACUGCCUUUGAUACUGAAAGUCUUGAGUAUGGGAGAGGUGAGUGGAACUGCGAGUGUAGAGGUGAAAUUCGUAGAUAUUCGCAAGAACACCAGUGGCGAAGGCGGCGACCUGGUCCGACACUGACGCUGAGGCGCGAAAGCGUGGGGAGCAAACAGG
rnacentral:rRNA from 1 species